AAAGGGAAUGAAGAGGGAAAAGCCCAAAUUUGUAAUCUGGCUCUUUCAGAGUCCGAGUUGUAAUUUUAAGAACUGUUUUCAGUGCUGGACCAUGUUCAAGUCUGUUGAAAAGCAGCAUCAUAGAAGGUGAUAAUCCUGUUCAUGAUAUGGACUACCAGUGCAAUAUGAUACAGUCUCUAAGAGUCGAGUUGUUUGGGAAUGCAGCUCAAAGUGGGUGGUAAAUUCCAUCUAAGGCUAAAUAUUGAUGAGAGACCGAUAGCAAACAAGUACCGUGAGGGAAAGAUGAAAAGAACUUUGGAAAGAGAGUUAACAGUACGUGAAAUUGUUAAAAGGGAAACAAUUGAAGUUAGACUUGUUAUUAUUAGUUCAAACCUUUUUAAGGGAGUAUUCUAAUGAUUAACAGACCAAUGUCAAUUUUUGAGUGUUGGAUAAGGGUUUAAGGAAAUGUAGCAGUUUCUGACUGUGUUAUAGUCCAUGAGCUUUGAUACAAUGCUUAAGAUUGAGGAAUG
rnacentral:rRNA from 1 species